rnacentral:rRNA from 1 species
CCUACGGGAGGCAGCAGUGGGGAAUAUUGCACAAUGGGGGAAACCCUGAUGCAGCGACGCCGCGUGAGUGAAGAAGUAAUUCGUUAUGUAAAGCUCUAUCAGCAGGGAAGAAAAUGACGGUACCUGAGUAAGAAGCCCCGGCUAACUACGUGCCAGCAGCCGCGGUAAUACGUAGGGGGCCAGCGUUAUCCGGAUUUACUGGGUGGAAAGGGAGCGUAGACGGCAGUGCAAGUCUGGAGUGAAAGGCGGGGGCUCAACCCCCGGACUGCUCUGGAAACUGUACGGCUGGAGUGCAGGAGAGGUAAGUGGAAUUCCUAGUGUAGCGGUGAAAUGCGUAGAUAUUAGGAGGAACACCAGUGGCGAAGGCGGCUUACUGGACUGUAACUGACGUUGAGGCUCGAAAGCGUGGGGAGCAAACAGGAUUAGAUACCCCAGUAGUC